rnacentral:rRNA from 1 species
GACGGAGGGUGCUAGCGUUGUUCGGAAUCACUGGGCGUAAAGGGCGCGUAGGCGGCCUUGCAAGUCGGUUGGUGAAAGCCCGGGGCUCAACCCCGGAGGUGCGGCCGAGACUGCAGGGCUGGAGGCCGGAAGAGGAAGGUGGAAUACCCAGUGUAGAGGUGAAAUUCGUAGAUAUUGGGUGGAACACCGGUGGCGAAAGCGGCUCUCUGGUCCGGACCUGACGCUGAGGCGCGAAAGCGUGGGGAGCAAACAGG